rnacentral:lncRNA from 1 species
AUUCGAGGCGGAUUUUUAAAAACGCGAAUCUGAAUCCGACUCCAAACCUAAGAUUCGAACCUGAACCCAAACCCGACGGAUUUUAAAUAUCUAUUUCCAAACCCGAACCUGACCAAAAUCCGAAUCCGAACCUGAAAAUUCGAACCGGAAAUAAUUAUUUUUUUAAUAUUUUAAAAUAUAUUUUAUUAAAUUUAAAAUUUUAAAAUAGAAAUUUAAAUAUAACAUCAAAUUUUUAUAUACAUAUUAUAUAUAAUACAAAAUAAAUUCGGGUUCGGGUCGGAUACAGUCAAAAUCUAUAUCCGAAUCUAUAUCCGUCGGAGUUUUAUUUUUGAUAUCCACAUCCGAAUCCAUAUCCGUUUAGCAUUGAAUAUAUCUGCUUCAUUCAUAUUAGGGUUCAAAUAAAAUUUCGAAUAUCCAUGUUCAUUGACAUCCCUGCAUGCAGCACCUC